AUUGAACGCUGGCGGCAGGCCUAACACAUGCAAGUCGAGCGGAUGACGGGAGCUUGCUCCCGGAUUCAGCGGCGGACGGGUGAGUAAUGCCUAGGAAUCUGCCUGGUAGUGGGGGACAACGUUUCGAAAGGAACGCUAAUACCGCAUACGUCCUACGGGAGAAAGCAGGGGACCUUCGGGCCUUGCGCUAUCAGAUGAGCCUAGGUCGGAUUAGCUAGUUGGUGAGGUAAUGGCUCACCAAGGCGACGAUCCGUAACUGGUCUGAGAGGAUGGUCAGUCACACUGGAACGGAGACACGGCCCAGACUCCUACGGGGGGCAGCAGUGGGGAAUAUUGGACAAUGGGCGAAAGCCUGAUUCAGCCAUGCCGCGUGUGUGAAGAAGGUCUUCGGAUUGUAAAGCACUUUAAUUUGGGAGGAAGGGCAGUAAGCGAAUACCUUGCUGUUUUGACGUUACCGACAGAAUAAGCACCGGCUAACUCCGUGCCAGCCGCCGCAGUAAGAC
rnacentral:rRNA from 1 species